GCCGGUGAUUAUUGCGAAGGGGUAAUACCCGAUCCCAUUCCGAACUCGGAAGUCAAGCCCUUCAGCGCCAAUGGUACUUU
rnacentral:rRNA from 1 species